rnacentral:rRNA from 1 species
GAUGAGCGCUGGCGGCGUGCCUAAUACAUGCAAGUCGAGCGAACAGACGAGGAUCUUGCUCCUCUGACGUUAGCGGCGGACGGGUGAGUAACACGUGGAUAACCUACCUAUAAGACUGGGAUAACUUCGGGAAACCGGAGCUAAUACCGGAUAAUAUAUUGAACCGCAUGGUUCAAUAGUGAAAGACGGUUUUGCUGUCACUUAUAGAUGGAUCCGCGCCGCAUUAGCUAGUUGGUAAGGUAACGGCUUACCAAGGCAACGAUGCGUAGCCGACCUGAGAGGGUGAUCGGCCACACUGGAACUGAGACACGGUCCAGACUCCUACGGGAGGCAGCAGUAGGGAAUCUUCCGCAAUGGGCGAAAGCUUGACGGAGCAACGCCGCGUGAGUGAUGAAGGUCUUCGGAUCGUAAAACUCUGUUAUUAGGGAAGAACAAAUGUGUAAGUAACUAUGCACGUCUUGACGGUACCUAAUCAGAAAGCCACGGCUAACUACGUG